AACGAACGCUGGCGGCAUGCCUAACACAUGCAAGUCGAACGAGACCUUCGGGUCUAGUGGCGCACGGGUGCGUAACGCGUGGGAACCUGCCUUUAGGUUCGGAAUAACUCAGAGAAAUUUGAGCUAAUACCGGAUGAUGUCUUCGGACCAAAGAUUUAUCGCCUUUAGAUGGGCCCGCGUUGGAUUAGCUAGUUGGUGGGGUAAAGGCCUACCAAGGCGACGAUCCAUAGCUGGUCUGAGAGGAUGAUCAGCCACACUGGGACUGAGACACGGCCCAGACUCCUACGGGAGGCAGCAGUGGGGAAUAUUGGACAAUGGGCGAAAGCCUGAUCCAGCAAUGCCGCGUGAGUGAUGUAGUCCUUAGGGUUGUAAAGCUCUUUUAACCGAGAUGAUAAUGACAGUAUCGGGAGAAUAAGCUCCGGCUAACUCCGUG
rnacentral:rRNA from 1 species